GCCGGGGUGGUGGAAUUGGCAGACACAAGGGACUUAAAAUCCCUCGGGCCUUAUCAGCCCGUACCGGUUCAAGUCCGGUCCCCGGUACAA
rnacentral:tRNA from 1 species